rnacentral:lncRNA from 1 species
UCAACGGAACGUGCAAGGAUGACUAGGCUACUGGGGGUGACAGGUAGCCUAGUGGUUAGAGUGUUGAGCCAGUAACCAAAAGGUUGCUAGAUAGAAUCCCCGAGCUGACAAGUUCUGCCCAAUCUGACUUUGGUGUCUGUCUCCAGGCCCACGUCUCCUCAUACUGCUACUCUGCCCUGGAUUCCCCACUCUACUGGAUUCCCCUCCGGACCUGCCUACCCUGUCCCAAACCCUCUCGCUCCAGCCUCAGUCUCCACACCUGGUUUCCUGCAACCCGCCCAAGCUUCCCGUGGCCUGCACUCCACCUUCCCCCUGUGUUUCAAUAAAUACCUUGGUUACCUCAUCCCAGUCUCCUUGUCUGAGUCUGCUCUUGGGUUUCCCUGUUCCACUCCGUGUAACAGUUACUUCUGUGAACGUUAAUUAUCCUCCCUCCUCACAGAGACAAACGUGUAAAUAUCUUAAGCGGAAUUACAAGGCAAUAUUUCUUAAACUUAAACAAUUUCUCCAAACACAAAUGUAAGUGUUGAU